rnacentral:lncRNA from 1 species
AUGAUUUUUUUAGGCUUCUUGGUGAUUUUGACGUCAGUCCAAGCUGUGUCUGUGCCUACCUUCUCCCCCGUGUAUGAGCUGAAGGUGGGGUACGGAGACAAUGUCACCCUCCCCUGUAACUUUUCCUCCUACCUGGGCCAGGAGGAUGAGGGGGAGGUCCGCUGGGAGGCCAUGGGGCAGGAGGUGGCCUCUAUGGAGGUUGGGAACAUCCUUGGUGAGGCCAGAUGGGACGACGGCGCCAAGGGGUUGGAGGUCAAAACGACACUGGGGUUCUCUUCCCGGGUGGAAUUCCCCCCAGCAGAGAGGAUGAGAGAUGGAGACUUCUCUAUGACCAUCCAGGAGACAGUGCUGAGCGAUGAGGAAAUGUACGAGUGUAUCUGGCUGGGCCGCAAGACCAUCUCUACAGUCUGGCUCAAGGUUCAGGGUAAGUCUGUUUUCAGGCUUUCCCAUUCAGAGCCGCAUUCUGUGGUUGGUGGAGUCGACCAGCGGCCAUUUUGGGUGUACCAUUUGGAAUGUUUGAUUAUCUUCAUUUAUGCUUAUCACAUCCUCCCUCAUCCCUCACUCUUUUCUACUACUCUCCAUCCCUUCUCCCUCUCAGAGCCCGACCCUCCACGCUCUAUCACGCUGUUCAAGGGAAGCCCGGUCACUCUGCCCUGCUACGGUGUCAUCCCCAAGACCCAGCCCACCAGCCAGAUCUACGUCCAAUGGCUGAAGGACGAUGUGGAGAUCAUGACCCUUAACCCUGGCCCAGACGACAAGGGACCUAAGGAAGAAGACCUCCGUCUCUCUCUCCCACCCAACAACCUGCUGGAGAACGGUGACCUGUCCUUGUAUAUCUACAAGACGGAGCUCAAAGACCAGGGAGUCUAUCGCUGCUUCUACAAGUCCAGGGGCUUCGAGGACCCUAAGAGUGGGAUACCAGAGGGUGUCUCUCUCACCAUCCUAGAUCCAUACACUGACCUAUAUAACUUAACAGGUAGGCCUACACACACAGACCUAUAUAACUUAACAGGUAGCCUACACACACUGACCUAUAUAACUUAACAGGUAGGCCUACAUACACUGACCUAUAUAACUUAACAGGUAGGCCUACACACGCUGACCUAUAUAACUUAACAGGUAGGCCUACACACACUGACCUAUAUAACUUAACAGGUAGGCCUACACACGCUGACCUAUAUAACUUAACAAGUAGGCCUACACACACUGACCUAUAUAACUUAACAGGUAGGCCUACACACGCUGACCUAUAUAACUUAACAGGUAGGCCUACACACACUGACCUAUAUAACUUAACAGGUAGGCCUACACACACUGACCUAUAUAACUUAACAGGUAGGCCUACACAUGCUGACCUAUAUAACUUAACAGGUAGGCCUACACACACUGACCUAUAUAACUUAACAGGUAGACCUACACACACUGACCUAUAUAACUUAACAGGUAGGCCUACACACACUGACCUAUAUAACUUAACAGGUAGGCCUACACACACUGACCUAUAUAACUUAACAGGUAGGCCUACACACACUGACCUAUAUAACUUAACAGGUAGGCCUACACACACUGACCUAUAUAACUUAACAGGUAGGCCUACACACACUGACCUAUAUAACUUAACAGGUAGGCCUACACACACUGACCUAUAUAACUUAACAGGUAGGCCUACACACACUGACCUAUAUAACUUAACAGGUAGGCCUACACACACUGACCUAUAUAACUUAACAGGUAGGCCUACACACGCUGACCUAUAUAACUUAACAGGUAGGCCUACACACGCUGACCUAUAUAACUUAACAGGUAGGCCUACACACGCUGACCUAUAUAACUUAACAGGUAGGCCUACACACACUGACUGACAUUGAGUUUGUUCUUUAAUUUGUGCUCCUUGUUUUUGAAUGCGAGAGCUAGUAACAUAGAUUUUUCAGUGUUUUUCCCUUUUUUAACACAGGAACAGAGAAUGUCACCAGUAGCUCAGACUUUAGUGGGACUAGUGGUGACAGUGAGAACCCAAUAACAUUCUUCACUUUGGUGACCCAAGAUAAGGAGGAUAUGCAAGGUACUGUACAGGUGUUGCAACGUUUGAAAGCUAUUUUCUCCCCAAUGCUUAUUAUUACUUAUUGUUUUUGUUAGAACAUACUGGUAACAUUUCAUUACAUCAUUACAGUGACAUCAUCUGAGCCAAUACUAGUGCAGACAGAGAUGACACCAUCAUCACCUGACACAACCUUUGGUGAGUGUUAUGUUCUAAAUGUUUUGGAAGUACUGUAGAUGAAUGUUGGAAGGCGGAGUCAAUGUUGAAUACUGUGCCCCCCUAUUCUCCCUCUUCCCUCCUCUUCCCUCCUCUUCCUCUUCCCUCCUCCUUGCCCAGAGGAUCCAGAAGACGUGUUGGCAGUGUGGGCAAAGACCCUUCCGCUGGUGCGUAUCGGGAUAAUCACCGUGGUUCUGCUGGUUACAGCUCUGAUCUUCUUCCCUCUGCUGGUUCUCAACAAGAUCCCAUCCUAGACCCACAUUAGGGUAGAGAGGGUAGACCCAAGGGUUAGGGCAAAGUCAUUCAAUUAUGGCUCUGGAGGGCUGAAAAACAUUUUCAUUCUCUUUUAAUCAGACUGAUUCAGAUUUGGGUCUAUCGGGUGACUCUUGGCCAAUCAAUUACAUCCAUUGAUAAUUCACUCAGGGCUAGUAACUUUUUAAAGUGUAUACAGUGCAUUUGUAAAGUAUUCAGACCUUUGUUUUUUCCACAUUUUGUUACGUUACAGGCUUAUUCUAAAAUAUAUUACAUUAUUUUUUGUCUCAUCAAUCUACACACAAUACCCCAUUAUGACAAAUUGAAAACAGGUUUUGAGACAUUUUUGCAAAUGUUUAAAAAAACAUAGCUUAUUUACAUAAGUAUUCAGACCCUUUGGGAUGAGACUCGAAAUUGAGCUCAGGUGCAUCCUGUUUCAAUUGAUCAUCCUUAAGAUGUUUCUACAACUUGUUUGGAGUCCAUCUAUGCUAAAUUAAAAUUAAUUGGACGUGAUUUGGAAAGGCAUACACCUGUCUGUAAAGUCCCACAGUUGACAGUGCAUGUCAGAGCAAAAACCAAGCCAUGAGGUCGAAGGAAUUGUCCGUAGAGCUCUGAAACCGGAUUGUGUCGAGGCACAUUUCUGGGGAAGGGCACCAACAAAUGUCUGCAGCAUUGAAGGUCCCCAAGAACACAGUGGCCUCCAUCAUUCUUAAACGGAAGAAGUUUGGAACCACCAAGACUCUUCCUAGAGCUGACCUCCCGGCCAAACUGAGCAAUCGGGGGAGAAGAGCCUUAGUCAGGGAGGUGACCAAGAACCCAAUGGUCACUCUGACAGAGCUCCAGAAUUCCUCUGUGGAGAUGGGAGAACCAUCAGGAGGUACAACCAUCUCUGCAGCAUUCCACCAAUCAGGCCUUUAUGGUAGAGUGGCCAGACCGAAGCCACUCCUCAGUAAAAGUCAAGACACAAAAGACACCUAAAGGACUCUCAGACCAUGAGAUACAAGAUUAUCUGGUCUGAUGAAACCAAGAUUGAACUAUUUGGCCUGAAUGCCAAGUGUCACGUCCGGAGGAAACCUGGAACCAUCCGUACGGUGAAGCAUGGUGGUGGCAGCAUCAUGCUGUGGGGAUGUUUUUCAGCGGCCGGGACUGGGAGACUAGUCAGGAUCGAGGGAAAGAUGAACGGUGCAAAGUACAGACAGAUCUUUGAUGAAAACCUGCUCCAGAGCGCUCAGGACCUCAAACUAGGGCGAAGAUUCACCUUCCAACGGGACGACGACCCUAAGCACACAGCCAAGACAGCACAGGCGUGGCUUCGGGACAAGUCUGUGAAUGUCCUUCAGUGGCCCAGCCAGAGCCCGGACUUGAACCCACUCUAACAUCUCUGCUGAGGCCUGAAAAUAGCUGUGCAGCGACGCUCCCCACCCAACCUGACAGAGCUUGAGAGGAUCUCCAGAGAAGUAUGGGAGAAACUCCCCAACUACAUUUAUGCCAAGCUUUUUGCUUUGUCACUAUGGGGUAUUGUGUGUAGAUUGAUAAGGGGAAGAAAAACUAAUUAAUCCAUUUUAGUUUAAGGCUGCAACGUAACAAAAUACAAAUGCACUGUAUAUGUGAAUAGUCUGAAAAUGCUACAUUAUCUUAGCCACAUUAAAGCUACAGCCUCUAUGCAUUUGUCCUCUGCGAUGCUGGAUCAACCCCUCAUCUGAGCUGCCAGUGAGAAGUCUGAGAUCGUUUGAUGAUGUCUGCCCUGCUACGUCCGCUGAAUGCUUUGGAGGUUGUGUAUUGGAAUGUGGGAUUGGACUCAAGGGCUCAGAUGAACCCUGCUAUGCUCUGUCCUUAUAUAGUAUUCCUAUUAAUAUCUCUGCCUUGGAAUGAUGACAAGGGCGGGGAGACAGUCUUCAAAUACUGAACUGCACCAUUUGAAAACACAGUAUUGGAUGUACAAUAAACGUGUGUUGCGAGCGCAUUGCAAAUAAACAUUAAAUACAUG